UAAAGUUCUUUAACACA
rnacentral:tRNA from 1 species